AGGUCCACUUACUACAGGUACAUCCAUGUAAACUCCAUCAGUCUGACAGUAGGUCCACUUACUACAGGUACAUCCAUGUAAACUCCAUCAGUCUGACAGUAGGUCCACUUACUACAGGUACAUCUAUGUAAACUCCAUCAGUCUGACAGUAGGUCCACUUACUACAGGUACAUCUAUGUAAACUCCAUCAGUCUGACAGUAGGUCCACUUACUACAGGUACAUCCAUGUAAACUCCAUCAGCCUGACAGUAGGUCCACUUACUACAGGUACAUCUAUGUAAACUCCAUCAGCCUGACAGUAGGUCCACUUACUACAGGUACAUCUAUGUAAACUCCAUCAGUCUGACAGUAGGUCCACUUACUACAGGUACAUCUAUGUAAACUCCAUCAGCCUGACAGUAGGUCCACUUACUACAGGUACAUCUAUGUAAACUCCAUCAGUCUGACAGUAGGUCCACUUACUACAGGUACAUCUAUGUAAACUCCAUCAGUCUGACAGUAGGUCCACUUACUACAGGUACAUCUAUGUAAACUCCAUCAGUCUGACAGUAGGUCCACUUACUACAGGUACAUCUAUGUAAACUCCAUCAGUCUGACAGUAGGUCCACUUACUACAGGUACAUCUAUGUAAACUCCAUCAGUCUGACAGUAGGUCCACUUACUACAGGUACAUCCAUGUAAACUCCAUCAGUCUGACAGUAGGUCCACUUACUACAGGUACAUCCAUGUAAACUCCAUCAGUCUGACAGUAGGUCCACUUACUACAGGUACAUCCAUGUAAACUCCAUCAGUCUGACAGUAGGUCCACUUACUACAGGUACAUCCAUGUAAACUCCAUCAGCCUGACAGUAGGUCCACUUACUACAGGUACAUCCAUGUAAACUCCAUCA